CUCCAGUUCACUUCAGAAGUGCUGCCUUUGCAACGGUGCCUCCUGAGGACCUCAGUCUUUGUUGCUGAGCUCUUGAGCAAACAUCUACAAUCGACCGUCGCUCGGUUGAGCAACUGACUGAUUUUCCAGAGGAUGCUUCCAUUCUUCACAACCACUGGUUGCUGUGGAUGUCGACGUGAUAACCCACAGGCAGUUAUUAAGCGAAGAGUUUACCAAAGAUUGUGGGGUAGCGUUACCAUCACGUGUCGUGUGAUGUAGAUUGAUUUUACUGGCAAUGACACCAACAACAUUAUCAAAUUUCUGGACGCUGUCAGACUCUGGAGAUGGCCCGAAACGAGACUCCUGAUCAUCGGCCCAAGAGGUGAUGUGAGGUCCUUGCUCGACAAUGAUGCCUUCAAAAACUCCUUUAUGUCCUGUUCGUAGGACUUCAGGAGAAUUCCACUCAUCCUUCCUCAACUGCUAAUCUCUCCGAUUCCUCGAAGCGCAGCAUCUGGGAAUACUUGAAUGCUAGUCCAAAGAGUAGAGGAUAUUCCUUCUUCAGUCGUUGCUUGUACUGCAACAGAGGCAAACCAGAAAUCAGACCCAUUCCGCCCCUGGUCACAUGGAUCAAGAGUACCUCAGCUGUACCUGCCAUUAUCUG